rnacentral:rRNA from 1 species
UACGACGGGGGCUAGCGUUGCUCGGAAUCACUGGGCGUAAAGCGCACGUAGGCGGAUUGUUAAGUCAGGGGUGAAAUCCUGGAGCUCAACUCCAGAACUGCCUUUGAUACUGGCGAUCUCGAGUCCGGGAGAGGUGAGUGGAACUGCGAGUGUAGAGGUGAAAUUCGUAGAUAUUCGCAAGAACACCAGUGGCGAAGGCGGCUCACUGGCCCGGUACUGACGCUGAGACGCGAAAGCGUGGGGAGCAAACAGG